AUUUAAAAAUGGGGAAUGCAGAAGCAAACUGGAACUCAGAUAUUAUGUCACUUGGAGUCAGCACUUGUUACCUCUAAAAGGUGACAGAAUUCAUGGGGCCCUUACUUUGUCUGAGUUUCGCUGGUUGGUGAGUGAAGAACACGCAUAGGAACGUGAUGGAAUCCUCCCCGUGGCUCCCAUGACCAGACUCCAGGGCUCAACAACAUCUCCUGUGGGGGUCUCUGGUGCACCUUCAGCAAGCUCCUCCCCUGCAUGCCAGUCUGAUCCUGUUCCUGGUGGCAGAGGAGGAAGAGGAGGGAAAAGAGUAGAUAAAUGAAACCUUUAAAAAAAAAGAAGAAGAAGAAGGGGUCAUAGUUCACGAGGUCAGAGAGAAAAGCCCAGAAAUCCACCUAUUCAUCUACUGUUGAGCAUCUACUGUUUGCCAGCAUAGUGGACAGUGCCGAGAACACAGUGGGACAAAGUCACGUGGUGUUGGCUGUUAGGAACGCAUCCUCUGCUUUGGAGUGGAGUUGAUCAGUCGCCACUGUGCACCCGGAUUAUCUGGGGAUCUUGGAACCAGCAUUCUGACCCCGCAGGUUUGGGUGGGGCCUGAGACUCUACAUCUCUAAGAAGCUCCGAUGUCCCUGAAGCUGCUGUUGGUGCAUGGAUGACAUGCUGAAGACCAAGGAUGGUGAGGCAAAGGGUCACUCAGGGAUAGCCACGGACCUGUCACCGAUUACACUGCCAGACUGACGCCAGACCGAUGGAGUCCAUGCUUUCCAUGUCAGAGCUCACCCACCUCAGGCUUGACCUCCCAGGUGUGAGAAAAUCUGCACUCUGCCUGGAAGGCCUGUCAGCUGAUCGAAUCCAGCUGGCCUACCCAGGUUACUGAGGAUACCCUCC